rnacentral:rRNA from 1 species
ACUUGACUUAGCCAUAGCAACCCAGGGUUGGUAAAUCUUGUGCCAGCCACCGCGGUCAUACAAGAAACCCAAAUCAAUAGCUACCCGGCGUAAAGAGUGGCCACAUGUUAUCUGCACCAGCUAAGAUUAAAAUGCAACCAAGCUGUCAUAAGCCUAAGAUCCACCUAAACCCAACCCAAAUCCAUCUUAGCCUCAACGAUUAAUUUUAACCCACGAAAGCUAGGACCCAAACUGGGAUUAGAUACCCCACUAUGCCUAGCCCUAAAUCUAGAUACCUCCCAUCACACAUGUAUCCGCCUGAGAACUACGAGCACAAACGCUUAAAACUCUAA